UACGUAGGUGGCAAGCGUUGUCCGGAUUAUUGGGUUUAAAGGGUGCGUAGGCGGUCUUAUAAGUCAGUGGUGAAAUACGGCAGCUCAACUGUCGAGGUGCCAUUGAUACUGUAGGACUUGAGUACAGACGAGGUAGGCGGAAUUGACGGUGUAGCGGUGAAAUGCUUAGAUAUCGUCAAGAACACCGAUAGCGAAGGCAGCUUACUAGGCUGUAACUGACGCUGAGGCACGAAAGUGUGGGGAUCAAACAGGA
rnacentral:rRNA from 1 species